rnacentral:rRNA from 1 species
AUGGCGUCGUCCGGGAGCCCCUUCACCAGCCACGCGGGGCUCGCGAGCACCUUCCCCCACGCGUCGGCGCUGGCCUCCCGUGUCCUCAGCACGCCGGCGACCGCCUUGAUGGCCAGAGGGAUGCCGCCACACUUCUCGACGAGCCUUUCGCCCACGCCCUUCAGCUGGCUCUCGUCGUUGGCCACGCACGCCGCCGUGCGGAGAAGCAGCCAGACAUCGUCGGCGCUGAGCCUCUUCACCCGGUGGACAAGGCCGGCGCCCAUCUCGCGGGCGGUGCUGCCGCGCCGCGCUGUGACCAGCACCUUGCCGCCCCGGCCGCCGCGCUCCAGUGGGUUCUGCAGCAUGUCCUCCCACACCCCGCCGUACCACACGUCGUCGACCACGAGCAGGAACCUCUUGUUCGCCACCAGGCCUGUCAGCAUUGCCUGGAGGUCGGCGACGCUCUCGCCGCCCUUUGUGUCGCCGCCAAAGGCGUCGAUGACCUGCGAGAGCAGGCCGGCCUCCGUGUACCCUCUGGAGAGGCGAACCCAUGAGGUUGUCCCGAAGCUGCAACGCACCCUCGCGCUCUCGUAUACCAUCCUAGCGAGCUUGGUCUUGCCGAUGCCGUCCGGUCCGACGAUGGCGACAACCUCGCAUGCCGCCGGCCUGCCCGUCUGCGUCAGCCGAUCAACGAGCAGUCGGGCGUCGUCCUCGAUCCUUGUGCCGACGGCGAUGUCUGGAUCAGUUGGCUGGCGCCUCAGCGACGUCCGCGUAUGGACGGUGGGAUCAGCCGCGUACGCCGCGUGGAGCUGCAGCCGGCGCUGCUUCCUCAGGAUCGCCUGCAGCUUCUGGUUGACGCGCUUGAGGUCGGCAGCGAUGUCGCCGUGGGGCUCGGCGUCCUCGCAGCAGGAGGAUAGGAGCCAAGGCAGAGCCUGCACGCCAUGA